UAUGUAUUGGUGUAAGAUGCACUAAGAAUUUUGGAUUCUUAAGUUAUAGUUUAAUUCUAUAAUAUAUAA
rnacentral:tRNA from 2 species